rnacentral:lncRNA from 1 species
AUCUGUGUUGUGCUCUCAGGUUAUUCCUGAAUUGCAUCACGAUUCCUCAGGCUUCCUACUGUUCAGUGGGGCUGAUGAACAGAUGUCCGUGGUGCCUAUUAUCUCCUUGCUGAAGCUGUCACACAUAGAUAAUGUCAACGUUUUUCAUCGUAAGUGCUUUAAUAAGCAACUUUAUAGCCUGGACUGUGAUCAGCAGAGGCCCUCUUCCUUUGAGGAACCCCACAUACAACUAACUGAAGGCUUCUCGGGAGGCAGGAGGAAUGAUCUUGUGCUGCAGGUGUGGAAACAACUGCUCAGAUGUCCUCACACAGGUCAGGUAACUUGAAUAUGUGUGGUGAAAUUGUUGCUUGUGAUGGAUACGCCAGCAAGGAAAUAAGCGGCAGGUAUGUUUAUUGUAUUCUGUCAAAACAUGACAACAGAAUUGGGUAGGAGAUCAGAAACUGUUUAUCACACAAGAUAUAUGUGAUUAUCAUAUAUUACCAAUUAGUUCCAUGCACCAUGAUACAUGUUAAAUAGUUCUGUUAAAUGUCUGUUGAUUUUGUGGAUGCCACUAAGUUGGGCUCAUUUUGUUGAUAUUACUACUGCAUAGUGAUGACUGUGUCAAAGGAGGAAAUAUGAAAAAAGAGAAUAAAAUGGCAAAAAGUGGAGGCA